CUUGCCAUUUCAAUGACUCUGACGCAUCUUCAAACUGACACUAGCUACCCACACAACCGCUGUAAUAAGACAAUCUGUCUCCGCUCUAGGGAAUAUUCGCUCCACAAUAAUUACUUUUUAAAUGUUAUUGCUUGUAACCUUUUUUUUUUAAUCCAUCCUCAUACUAAAAGUUUUUCGUCAAGAUUCAGUUAUAAACUAAUGAGUGUAAAUUUCAUUUACAAUCAAAUUGUUUGGUGAGUCACUUCAAAUGUUCUUGUGGGUCACUCAUGACCCAUGGGUCAUAGGUUGCUGACUCCUGGUAUAAUGGGCAAAGAUUUACAUAUGAAAAAAUAUAUUGUACAAACUUAGCAACUGCAGUUUUUAGUAAAUUUAAUAUAUAAAUUUUAAAAAUGCUAAAUUUCAAAUAAAAUGUUAAUAUAGAAUUUAUUAAUUUUCAUACACUAUUAUUUUAUCAUUUCUGC
rnacentral:lncRNA from 1 species